rnacentral:lncRNA from 1 species
UCAGCUGGAAAAUCCUGAGAUGACACCCGAGAGUGGAAACCUAUCCUUGAGACAGCAAAUGGCCUGGGAAGGUGAACGCAGGGCAGCUCGUCAAGGGAGGACUUUUUCAGCAAGUCCCUGACCGAUGUUGCCCAGUGGAGCCGGGACUUGGCUGUGUGGGUCCUUCACAGCAUGGGCUUUGCAUGAAAACGCUCACCAAAGAGAAGCGCCACAACCACAGAGGCUGGGGAGAGGAGGGAAGGGGAAAACUUUCAGUUGAACUUGGGUCACAAUCCACUCAUCUGUUACCAGAGCUGUUCAGUCUGGAAGAGGGAAACUAAUCACGGUGAUUUAAACAUGCCGAGUUAUUUCUGCCAGCGCUAUGGUGUGAGUGGUGAUGGCCACUCGUGGAUGUCAUAUGCCAGUCAGUUCCC